rnacentral:rRNA from 1 species
AUAGCUAAAUAUAAAGCAUUUCACUUACACCGAAAAGUUGCCCGUGAAAAUCGGACUACUCUGACACUUAAAAGCUAGCUAUACAUUAUAUUUAACAUAAAAUAUUAAUAGAUAUUAAUAUACUGACAGACAAAACUAAACCAUUUUGCACAUCUUAGUAUAGGAGAUAGAAAAGAAACAUUAAGCUAUAAAUUUAGUACCGCGAGGGAAUGCUGAAAGAGAGAUGAAACAGCACAGUGAAGUAAAACAAAGCAGAGAUAUAGGCUCGUACCUUUUGCAUCAUGAUUUAGUUAGAACUAAUUUAGCAAAGUGUUUUUUAGUUUAAUACCCCGAAACUAAGUGAGCUACUCCGGGACAGCCUAAUAAUAGGGCAAACACGUCUCUGUAGCAAAAGAGUGUGAAGAUCCCUGAGUAGAGGUGACAAGCCUACCGAACCUAGUUAUAGCUGGUUGUCUGAGACUUAAAUAGGAGUUUAGCCUUUUAUUUUCUGAAUUUAACAAUGACUUAUCAUUAAAACAAUAAAAGAAUGUUUAGGAGUUAUUCAUAAGGGGCUCAGCCCUUUUGAAAAAGGAUACAACCUUACUAGGUGAUUAAUGACAAAAUAAAGUUUAUGUCUCAGUGGGCUUAAAAGCAGCCACCUUUAGAAAGCGUUAAAGC